rnacentral:rRNA from 1 species
GGGGGCAUGUGCACGCUCUGUUCACACAUCCACUCACACCCUGUGCACCCUCUGUAGUUCUGUGGUUGGGGGGCAUGUCCUCCCGCUGUGGUUCUGCAUCCUUUACACACACACUGUAACAAAGUCUCAUGGAAUGCAUGCCGCGUUUAACGCAAUACAAUACAACUUUCAGCAACGGAUCUCUUGGCUCUCGCAUCGAUGAAGAACGCAGCGAAAUGCGAUAAGUAAUGUGAAUUGCAGAAUUCAGUGAAUCAUCGAAUCUUUGAACGCACCUUGCGCCCUUUGGCCAUUCCGAAGGGCAUGCCUGUUUGAGUAUCAUGAACACCUCAACUCUUCAUGGUUUUCCAUGAUGAGCUUGGACUUUGGGGGUUUUGCUGGCCUACAGUCAGCUCCUCUAAAAUGAAUCAGCUUGCCAGUGUUUGGUGGGCAUCACAGGUGUGAUAACUAUCUACGCUUGUGGUUUUCCACCAGGUAACCUUCAGCAGUGGAGGUUCACUGGAGCUCACAGACGUCUCUCCUCAGUGAGGACAGCUCUUUGAACGUUGAUCUCAAUCAGGUAGGACUACCCGCUGAACUUAAGCAUAUCAUAAGCGAGA